rnacentral:rRNA from 1 species
UCAGGCCUAACACAUGCAAGUCGAACGAGACCUUCGGGUCUAGUGGCGCACGGGUGCGUAACGCGUGGGAAUCUGCCCUUGGGUUCGGGAUAACAGUUGGAAACGACUGCUAAUACCGGAUGAUGACUUCGGUCCAAAGAUUUAUCGCCCAGGGAUGAGCCCGCGUCGGAUUAGCUAGUUGGUGGGGUAAAGGCCUACCAAGGCGACGAUCCGUAGCUGGUCUGAGAGGAUGAUCAGCCACACUGGGACUGAGACACGGCCCAGACUCCUACGGGAGGCAGCAGUGGGGAAUUUAAAGGAUGGGCGAAAGCCUGAUCCAGCAA